GGUGCGUGUGCCCGAGGCCCUCUCCCCUCCGAAGCCCCCACAGGGCGGGUCUCGCGUCAUCACGCAGAAACCGGAGUCGCAGAGGCGGGAGGGGGCUUUUCGGGUCACACUUCCCCCAAAAAUAAACCUGUUUUAAAAAUAAUGUGUGAAUCAAACAGCAACAGGAAGCUGAUAGAGCUCAAUGCAAGCACCUGCCUUUUUCCUCCACAAGCAACUAAAAUAAACUUAAAAUCAACUCGCGGCCCCGGAAGUCGGCGCCUGGUUAUCGACGCUCACCUGAUCAGCCGUGCCUGGGACAGGUCUCUGACUGGCAGGGCCGAGAGAAGGCAGAGGCGGCUCUGGCUGACCCAGGGACCAGGAAAAGCCGCAGUGGAGUUUUGGGGCCACCGGUCACGUGCUGCGGGCCCAAGGCCGUGCGUCCCACCGCUCGGCUCCCAGCCCUACCUCUGCUGUCCACUCCGGACGCUCAGGGAAGGGAGCGGUGGGCUGGGCUCAGGGGGACUCUCCAAGGCACCGCUCGGUCGCUGACUGCGGAAGGCGUGCCCCUGGCGCCUGCCCCGUUUAGCCCUCGACUCAGCGCCUGUGACUGCCAGCAUCUCCCCGGCCAGGCUGUAAGCUUCCUGAGGACAGGCAGCCACCUGCGGGCCCCGCCCAGCACACGCUGGAACAAGGCAACCAAGCCGGGAAACGGGAGCAGGGGAAGGAGGCACAGCCACCCCUGGGUCGGUUUCCCACGGCUGCUCUCACAAACCAGCACAAAAUCACGGCAAGGAAUCCCCGCGCGUGUUCUCUCGAGGGGUCUGAAACCCGUCUGUCAUGGCAUAAAACUGACACGUGGCAGAGUCUGGCUACAGCCUGUGUCCUCGCUGUCCAGCUCCGAGAGGCACCCGCGGUCCGGGGUGGGGGCUCCUAUGCCCAGCACCAGCGACUUCGGCCACCUCUGUCUGUCUGCCACACCUCAGCUAUGUUCUUCUUUCUUAAAACAAUUUCUAUUUAAUUUGAAAGGGAGAAAGAGAGAGAGAGAGAGAGAGAGAGACCGUCCAUCUGCUGGUUCACACCCCAAAGGCCUGUGACAGCUGGGACUGCCGGGAAAUCAGUCAGGGUGCCAGGAACCGGAGUACCAGGCCCACCGUCCCCGGUGCGUCUUAGCGGGGAGGUGCAUCGGAAGUGGAGGCGCUGGGACUAGAACCGGCUCCGGGGUGGGAGGCGGGCCAUCCACUCCAGGAGCCUCUGCGGUGAGCCUGCC
rnacentral:lncRNA from 1 species